GCCGUUGUAGCUCAGUUGGUAGAGCAACUGAUUCGUAAUCAGUAGGUCGGUGGUUCAAAUCCACUCACCGGCACCA
rnacentral:tRNA from 1 species